ACCCCCGCGUCCGCCGGAGCGCGGCCAGCAGCACAGAACGCGGGGGUCGCUCUCUUCGGCCGCCCUGCUCCUGCCGUGCCAGCGGCAGCUGCGCCAGGAGCGGGGAAAAUCCCCUUGGCUCGGGCAGCGAGGCCGGGAGCGAGCGGAUGGUGCUGCAGGGCAGCGUCUGACCCCAGGUCUCAGGGACUGCAUGGAGAUUCCUCUGGAGCAGGGUCACUCUGUGAGGAUGAGCCACAGAGGUUCAGUUCUUGGAGCAGGACAGGAAAAAUCGUUAAACUCCUCCCAUCUUUGCCAGAAGCUUCGGUGUUUAAGCAGCCAAAGCCAAGAGUCUUCAGCACCAGGGCUCUGUGUUACUAUUGGACAUGAAAUGAGUACACAGAAGCUUGGGCAACAGGUCUGCGCUGGAGGGCUCCUGGUCCUGCCCACGCUGUGGGCAGGAACAAGGGGGAAUGUGGUGCCAGAGCUGUGUUCUGUCGGGCUGCGCUUCCCUCUGAGGACAGAGUCUGGGCUGAGCGCACUCCACCCUGCCCGCGCCUUUCCGGCAAACCCCAGCGCGGCACGCCUGGUCCCCUUCGAGUUAUUGUAUUCCCCGUUGGAUUACAAUAAACGGAAUUCGCCCACAGAGAAAGACUCUCCUCGUAAUUCGCCGUGGGGUCGCUGGCUGCUCUCUGGAACUCCAAUAGCGCUUCCCAAAGCCCGCGAGGGUCCAGCGGGAAGCGCUAGAAACCUGCCCGCACCUCUCCCCUGAAGAGCUAGCCGGGGCUGAGGAAGGGCAUCGGGGAGAGAAGCGUCGGCAGUUGGUUGUUAUAAAUUAAAAUUUGUCCAGCCAAAUUAAUAUAAAAAAUAAAAUAUUUAUUUUGCAAUCAAAUUCUAUCUAGCCAGCCACAAGGAAAGAACAGAGCCGAGCCCGGGGUCGGCCCUGGGUGUGCAACAAGGAGUCAGCCUCAGCAGAGGUUUUCCUCCAUGCCCACACACUUCUGUCCUGGCACAAGCGGUUUUUAUAGGGAAAAUUCCGCCUGAGGCCAAGAUUUCAGCAAUCAGUCUUUUCUUCUAUUCAGAGUCUAUAUGUUAAUAAGAUUUUCCUUUUUGGUGAAGAGGGAGAGCAAAUCACUUUCCAGAGUUUGUUGAAUCCUUGAGAACGUGUAAACUCUCAGUUUACCCCACACAACCGCGCCCCUACACUACAAACCCUUCACCAUCGUACCCACACAGUUUCUCUCUCACUCACUCAGGGCAUACUCUUAAUUACAGCCACAAAAACAGAAGUUAUUUUAUUCUUUUUCUGCUUAAUAUCCGUGUCUUGUAUUUGUACAUCAAUCCCAGCUUCUCCCAAGGAGGCAGAUCAAAUCUUUCAGUGACUGUGGGAGUUUCUGGUUUUCCGAUUCCCACUUCUCCCCUCUUUCUGUAUUAAAACCAAUUUUUAUUAAUGGAUUUGUUAAGCAUUUGUUACAUAUAUUAAGAUAAAUAAGGUGUUAUCAUUAGUAGUAGUAUUAUUAUAAUAAUUAAAAUGUAUAAUUCUGUCAUAAGAUUUUUAAUUAUGUUGUUACAUUUUAUUUAUUAAAUAAAUUGUCAAUUAAGUUUUAUUAUUUAUUCUUAUUUUUGCUAUUUCUUACAGUUGUACAUUUUUAUAAAUAGAUUUUGAGUGACUAGAUAAAUGUAUACAUUGCAUUAAAAUUUUUAUAUUUAUGUAUGUGUGUUAAUAAAAGAAAAUUGAUUGUGUUUUGUAAAACUGCAUGUUUAAUAUUUUUGAUAUUUGUUAAAAAGUCAUUUAAUGUAAGGGAUGUAGUAUUAGAUUGUUUAUUUAGAUAAUAUUUUAAAUUAUUUAAUUGUUUUAGUGUUGUUGAAGUAAUAGGUGGUAUAAAAAGUGAUGCUACGAUUUUUUUUAAAGUUUCAAGGCUUAAAAUUACUUUUAUAUUUUGAUUACUAUUGAUGGAUAAAUGAUUUUUUUGUUUUAAAUUGGUAGUUAUUUUUAUAUUAAGAGUUAAUAAUAUAAGGGGUUUUAAUUAUAUGGAUUAUUUGUAAUGCUUUUUACUGGUAUAUUAAGUAAGUAAAGAAUGGAUUUUUUUGAGUAAUGACAGAUAAAUACAACAUAUUUAAACUUGAAACUUUAGUUAAAGUUACUUAAAGUUACUGUUUUAGGUUGGUUAAUUGGUAAAGAGAUAUAAUUAAAGUUAAAUAAAGUAAAUAGAGUAGAAGUAUAAUAUUUGAUGGAAUUUUAUAAUUUUAAAGUUAUUAAAUAGUAAGAUUUUUAUAUUUAUAAAGAAAUUUAAAGUUUAUAUUUUUUUGUGGGUGUAAAAGUUGGAAUUCCUGUGUAAUUUACAUUUGUGGAAUUUACAUUUGUAUUUACAUUGUGUAAUUUAUGUUUGUAUUUACAUUUUUUUUUUUAUUUGUGGAGUGGUGAGUGUGUUUUUUGUGUGAUAUUAUUUUAUAUUUCUUAUUGAAAUUGACUUGUGGUUUUGUACUUGUUGAGAUAUAAGUAAACUUUAUGUUUUGAUAU
rnacentral:lncRNA from 1 species